rnacentral:rRNA from 1 species
AGCGAACGUUUGCGGCGGGCCUAACACAUGCAAGUCGAACGAGAUCUCGGGCUUCGGUCCGGGUGAAAGUGGCGCACGGGUGCGUAACACGUGGGUAAUCAACCCUCUGGAUCGGGACAACCCGGGGAAACUCGGGCUAAUACCGGAUACGUCGUCGGAGCUCUAGGGCUCUGACGGGAAAGGCCUGCAAGGGCUACCAGAGGACGAGCUCGCGGCCCAUCAGCUAGUUGGUGAGGUAAUGGCUCACCAAGGCGAAGACGGGUAGCUGGUCUGAGAGGAUGAUCAGCCACACUGGAACUGAGACACGGUCCAGACUCCUACGGGAGGCAGCAGUGGGGAAUAUUGCGCAAUGGGCGAAAGCCUGACGCAGCCACGCCGCGUGUGUGAUGAAGGCCUUCGGUCGUAAGACCUACGUUGAGGAGAGAAGACUACUGUCGGUUAAUACCUACGUGUGGAGUGACGGUACCGGAAGUAAGAAGAC